AUGAGAGUUCUGCAUCGCCGGUUGCGCCGCCGGGGUGAUGCUGCUGUGCCACAAGGCUUGAUACAAUGGUCUGAUCAACCGGAUUCUUUGGCGACAUGGGAAGAUUUAGAAGAACUCAAGCAGCGUUUUCCGCGGGCGCCAGCUUGGGGACAAGCUGGACUUCAAGGAAAGGGGAGUGUUAACACUGGGCCUAGUGCCACUACCGACGAGACCGGUGUACGCUUCAUCACCAAGGAGGGCCGGCCCAGCAAGAGAGCCCAUCAUCCUUCCACUCGCUACGCAGACGGCAACUGGGUGUAG
rnacentral:rRNA from 1 species